rnacentral:rRNA from 1 species
AACGAACGCUGGCGGCAUGCCUAACACAUGCAAGUCGAACGAGAAGCUAUCUUCGGAUAGUGGAAAGUGGCGCACGGGUGAGUAACGCGUGGGAACCUGCCCUGAGGUUCGGAAUAACGAUUGGAAACGAUCGCUAAUACCGGAUGAGCCCUGAGGGGGAAAGAUUUAUCGCCUUGGGAGGGGCCCGCGUCCGAUUAGCUUGUUGGUGUGGUAACGGCGCACCAAGGCUUCGAUCGGUAGCUGGUCUGAGAGGAUGAUCAGCCACACUGGGACUGAGACACGGCCCAGACUCCUACGGGAGGCAGCAGUGGGGAAUAUUGGACAAUGGGGGCAACCCUGAUCCAGCAAUGCCGCGUGUGUGAAGAAGGCCUUAGGGUUGUAAAGCACUUUCAGUCGUGACGAUGAUGACGGUAAC